GGACUACCGGGGUUUCUAAUCCUGUUUGAUCCCCGUGCUUUCGCGCCUCAGCGUCAGUUGUCGUCCAGAUAGCCGCCUUCGCCACCGGUGUUCCUCCUAAUAUCUACGAAUUUCACCUCUACAUUAGGAAUUCCGCUAUCCCCUCCGACACUCCAGCCAUACAGUUUCAAAGGCAAUUCCCAGGUUGAGCCUGGGGAUUUCACCUCUGACUUGAAUGGCCGCCUACGCGCGCUUUACGCCCAGUAAUUCCGAACAACGCUAGCACCCUUCGUAUUACCGCGGCUGCUGGCAC
rnacentral:rRNA from 1 species